CUCAAGAUGAGAGUUCCCAUGUCUUCGGAAAGUAAGAUCCCUGAAAGAUGAUCAGGUAGAUAGGUUUGGAGUGGAAGUGUAGCGAUACAUGGAGCGGACAAAUACUAAUCGAUCGAGGACUUAACCAAAA
rnacentral:rRNA from 1 species